ACUCGGGGCAGCCGCCACCGGUGCGAACCGGUUGAUGAAUGGCGCGGUGUGCUGGCUGGUCCUCGCCACCAAACGCUCCGGUCGCUAGAGCCGCGAGUUCGCCUCAACUUGGAACGCCUCUCCGGCGGGCGGAACCCUGUAGCCCGAGGCCAUAGCUCUGUCGCGCUGGCCAACGGUUUACCUUGGCCCUUGCGCCCGGGGAUCUCCGUCAUCACUCCAUAUUGAUGUCGCAUGACCGCUGGGCGGCUGACUCACCGCUCCAGAGCCCGGCCCUAGUCUGGGACUAGGGAUUCUCGUCACCACGGGCACUUCCACGUGUGGGAAGGCUCUCCGCAGAGAUUAGCCGGUGGAACCCAGGAAAUGUCCCUAUUUUUUUUUUUUUUUUUCUUUCGAGGCACGUGAAGCCUAGUUGCUUCCUAGCCUUUCUUCUUCUCCCCCCACCCCCUUUCUUUUUAGGUUACACCCCUAAACUGCUGAUUCUGGCAACUGCAGUUGGCUCGUUUGUGGCAUUUCGAAAUCACAUGCAUCCUUUGUACUGCUGCUCAUUCUCAGAUAAUGAAAGGUUAGCUUUUGCUAAGGGGAAGCUUUUUUUUUUUCUUUUUCUUUUUAAAUUAAGAAUCUUCGGCUUUAUCAAGGGCUGAUGUAAGUUUUUGCGUCAAAAGCUAAGCUUUCCCCUUUUGUUGAUCUUCAGUCCUGUUCCAGUGUCCUUUUAAUCUAGGCUUCUAAGUGAAGCCUGAGUGCAGCUGUUUCUGAUCAUACAAGGGCAGCUUUUAUCUGAAAACCCUUUCUGCUCGCUUGUCUAGGACAGGUAAACAGGACCUUUACCUGCUUUGGAGAACUCAGCUUUCCAAUAACACUGAGGCCUUUUGUUCCCUGUUUUUCUGCACAUUAGGCCGGAGAAAUCAUAAGUUGUGCUCUCUCUUAUUGUGUACCGAAUUUUGUGAUUUAUUAGCACUUCUAUUUAGAGACUUCCUUGCAUAGUUACUUAAAUGUCUUAUAAACAUGCAAUCUGUAAGCAACGUAAGUACAUUAAAAAAAGGGGGGGGCAGACCUUUAAUAACAGCAACAACAACAACAAAAAGCAACUCAUCGUCAUUAAAAAUUGCUUGGCCAGGGAUCCAUUUAAAGUCAAGAACUUGAAGCAUAGAUCCCUUCACAAAUAGAGGUAAAGUGAGGUAACAAUUAAAUUAUGUAAGUCCUAAGAAAAUGCAGGGAGAUUAAAAGAAAAGUCUUUGAACAGUAAAGUGAAGUUGAGCAGACCAGGAAACUCAACCGAAGACAGAUUGAGUAUUACAGAACUAAAACCUUUCAUAUGACCAGUGACUUUGGGUAAGUGUUACUUAAGCUUUGGAAAAACAUGGGCAGAAUAAUUAGUGACUAGCUUGGCCAACUUGUAUUAAUAACAUACUUAGGCAUAUUAAAUCUGCCUCCCCUAUUCCAAAGGUUGGUCAACACUGUAAAACAAAAA